CCGAUGCGAGUGUGAGCAGGAGACUUGGGAGAGAUAAUUAGAAACCCUUCAUGUAAAAACAGCUUUAUUUAAUUAUCAUAUCUGGCCACUAUUGUGAAAUCUAAAAGAAAAAUAGAUUAUUCUAAAAAAAAAAUUGACUGUUGAAAAAGCAAAACAACAAUCGUGGAGGAUAGGGGAUUAAUAGAGUAUGAGUUAUAUUAUUAAGGACUCACCCAUUUCUGAAGGUAGUGCUAACAGAUUCAUUAUCGCUAAUGGUUUUUUCGAUUGUUAGUAUAUAUAAUAACAAAUUAUAUAAAAACAUUUCUAUUUUUCGAUCAUAGCAUACUUUCCACCACACCUUUUCAACAUUCUCCUUAUGUCAUUGCCCAACUACUUAAUCAACAGAUUUUUCUAUGUUCUACCAGAGAGCUCCUCUAGCUCACUCCCAUCCUCCAACAAUACAAUAUUUUUGGCAUUGCUAAGGGCAGAGAACCUUGCCCUCCUAUUUUUCUAUCAGUUUCAGCACACAUCAAUCAAUCCUGCAUAAAUGUACAAAAGUGGUUGAAGCUAGAGAUACCGUACCUGACGUCGCAUAUGGCUGACCGCCACCAUUUCUGAUGCUGUUCUUCGAUUCCAAGUGGAUUGCUUCAUGGGAUCUAUGCCUCAACUCAGUAGCGUCUUCAGCAUCCAUUUUUGCCGGUGUUUAGCUCUGAAAGAAGUGUCCGGCAAUUGAGAACGGACAACAAUCUUUCAUCCACAAGAGCUGAACCCGUCAACCGGAGGCUGAGUCAGAGCUAGU
rnacentral:lncRNA from 1 species